rnacentral:rRNA from 1 species
UUCGGUGUGUAAAACCCUUUUCUUUGUGAGCAAUGCCACUAGGGUUAAGAGCUAUAGUGGAGAGAUAUUAGCAGAGGAAUAAGCCACGGCUAACUCCGUGCCAGCAGCCGCGGUAACACGGGGGUGGCGAGCGUUGUCCGGAAUCACUAGGCGUAAAGGGCAAGUAGGCGGAAUAUCUAGUCAUUUGUUAAAGGCAUUGGCUCAACCAAUGUACGGCAUAUGAUCCUGGUAUUCUAGAAUUUGGUAUGGGAAGACGGAAUUCCUGGUGUAGCGGUGGAAUGCGCAGCUAUCAGGAAGAACACCGGAGGCGAAGGCGGUCUUCUGGGCCAAAAUUGACGCUGAAUUGCGAAGGUGUGGGUAUCAAACAGGAUUAGAUCCCCUGGUAGUCCACACAGUAAACGAUGUGCACUAGAUGUUGGGG